rnacentral:rRNA from 2 species
CAGUCGAGCGACUGAUUAGAAGCUUGCUUCUAUGACGUUAGCGGCGGACGGGUGAGUAACACGUGGGGCAACCUGCCUGUAAGACUGGGAUAACUCCGGGAAACCGGAGCUAAUACCGGAUAACAUUUUCUCUUGCAUAAGAGAAAAUUGAAAGAUGGUUUCGGCUAUCACUUACAGAUGGGCCCGCGGUGCAUUAGCUAGUUGGUGAGGUAACGGCUCACCAAGGCAACCGAUGCAUAGCCGACCUGAGAGGGUGAUCGGCCACACUGGGACUGAGACACGGCCCAGACUCCUACGGGGGGCAGCAGUGGGA